rnacentral:misc_RNA from 1 species
AUGAAGAACGUAGCGAAAUGCGAUAAGUAAUGUGAAUUGCAGAAUUCAGUGAAUCAUCGAAUCUUUGAACGCAUCUUGCGCUCCUUGGUAUUCUGAGGAGCAUGCCUGUUUGAGUGUCAUUAAAUUCUCAACCGCACUGACUUUGAAUUGGUGUGGCUUGGAUUUGGGGGGAAAAUUGUUGUGGGCUUUUUUGUAUAGUCUGCUCCCCUGAAAUUGAUUAGCGGUACCUUUGUGGAACUGUCUACAGGUGUGAUAAUUAUCUACAUCCUAGACAUCUGCUGGAAUGCUGCUUUCUAAACCUUACUUGUAUUGACAAUCUUGACCUCAAAUCAGGUAGGACUACCCGCUGAACUUAAGCAUAUCAAUAAGCGGAGGA